GUGGGUAGUUUGACUGGGGCGGUCUCCUCCUAAAGAGUAACGGAGGAGCACGAAGGUUGGCUAAUCCUGGUCGGACAUCAGGAGGUUAGUGCAAUGGCAUAAGCCAGCUUGACUGCGAGCGUGACGGCGCGAGCAGGUGCGAAAGCAGGUCAUAGUGAUCCGGUGGUUCUGAAUGGAAGGGCCAUCGCUCAACGGAUAAAAGGUACUCCGGGGAUAACAGGCUGAUACCGCCCAAGAGUUCAUAUCGACGGCGGUGUUUGGCACCUCGAUGUCGGCUCAUCACAUCCUGGGGCUGAAGUAGGUCCCAAGGGUAUGGCUGUUCGCCAUUUAAAGUGGUACGCGAGCUGGGUUUAGAACGUCGUGAGACAGUUCGGUCCCUAUCUGCCGUGGGCGCUGGAGAACUGAGGGGGGCUGCUCCUAGUACGAGAGGACCGGAGUGGACGCAUCACUGGUGUUCGGGUUGUCAUGCCAAUGGCACUGCCCGGUAGCUAAAUGCGGAAGAGAUAAGUGCUGAAAGCAUCUAAGCACGAAACUUGCCCCGAGAUGAGUUCUCCCUGAGACUUAGAGUCUCCUGAAGGAACGUUGAAGACGACGACGUUGAUAGGCCGGGUGUGUAAGCGCA
rnacentral:rRNA from 1 species